GACGUCACCGUCCGUUUCCGUUUCGGUUUCCUCUCUUUUUGAUCGCCAAUAGGCGCGAAAAGUAAAUCAACAAGACUGGCGAACUCUGGUUCCUUCACUGAAAACGACGUUUUACCUGCGUCCCACAGGAUGGAGACUCAGUGUCCGGAUACUGUGAAGUCUUACUCGGAGAUCACUCAGUUACUUGAACAGCUUACAAAGGAAACCAAUAAGCUUGCAGAAUACCAGAAAUGCCUGGUUCAGCACAAUAUGACCAUAAGUCAUCUUAACAAAUCUUUCAAUAAGGCUCAAUCUAAGCUGGAACGAGUGGCAGCUGUAAAAUGUGGCGGUGAGCUGUUAAACAUGUAGGCUUCUAAGAAGUCACAUUUGUUUUGAAUCAUUCCUAUAAAUAGCAAAGGUUGUGCAGUUGUACAAUGACAUGCUUAAUUCUGUAUCAAUAUUUAUAUUAAAUGUCUUUCAUUCAAGAACA